rnacentral:misc_RNA from 1 species
AACUCAUUUUGGAAACAAAAUGGACGGUGUUUAAAUGGCGUUUCUCGUGUUUGUUAGUGAUGUGAGAUAUUAUGCUUAAUUGGGCAUACAGUCUUCAUAUACAGAAGUCAAAUAAUAAAAACCAUCUAAACCGUUAUAUAAUUCUGCAAACCGUGACCAUUUUUCAUUGAUAAUUAUAUGGACCUACAUUUUUGGAGUAUGGUAUCCAUUUUGUGAACAACUUGUUGUGUGGCGUUUAAAGUAAGAUAAAAUGGACGUCCCCAAUAUUCAUUGGAUACUACUCGAAGGCAAAGAAACCAUAAUUCACUCUUAAUAGAGUGAUGGACUCAUAUAAUUUAUUUGAUGAUGGAAGCGGUAUGUUGGAAGGACUUACUGAUCUUGGUGGAUCAGACAGCUUUGCUGGUGCUUCUUCGGCUGGUGUAACUGGAGAUAGCAAAGAUACACCCGACAACAGUUACAGACAACCUUAUAAUCAAAAUACAGUACCACAAGAAGGAUCGAUUCAGAAGCUGGCUUCGUUUGGAGGGCCUCCGGCUGGCAGUGCUCAACCGGUGCCUAAUCCUGGCACGGGGCCUCCCGCACCCGAUUACCAUGACUACGGAAGUUACCCGCCACGUCCUCGCUUGCCUCAGCCACCUCACGGUCCGCUACAUCCGCCACAUCAUGUGCAUCCUUCACAUUCUUACCCAGGAUAUCAUCCUGGCCCAGAACCAAUGUAUGCAAUGCCAGAACAACCAGGUAUUGGAGAAAUGGGGGUAUGGUCUGGCCCUCCAGGCGCUAAUAGGUAUUCUCCAAUAGCACCGAGCUAUCGUCAUAGCUAUGAACAUCAACAAAAAAUGCAUCAAUACCCUCCUCAACAGGGUGCUGGUAUUGGUAGUCUACAAGCACAAAAUGGAACAUACAUACCAAGGCAGCCGCAUUUCUCACAACCAACAUCACAGCAAAUAUAUGGGCAACAGCAGAACUACCCCAACUACACACAGAUGCAUCCACCAACCGCUUCUAGAAUAGGUCAACACCCAACAUAUCAUCAGCAAAUGGAUGUCAAUCCUCAUCAGUAUGGUAUACCUCAUGGCCAACAAGGCCAUGCACCAAUUCCUCAGCACCAAUCUCAUCAAAGUAUGGGUGGUCAUUCUAGUAGUAUGACACCAGGAAUUCAAAACCAUCCUAAUGUGCAUCUUCACCAUCCGGGUGCACCGCCUAUACAUCAUGUACCUCGUCAGUCGCCAGUGCCGCCAUCUUCAGUGGCGCCGUCUCAUUCUUCUGUUCCGGCGCAAAUGCCUUAUGCAUCACCUCACCAUUCCGUCUCAAUGAAUUAUCAAUCUCAUCAAAUACAACAUCCUUUAGAUGUCAACGUUUCAAAUCAGUAUGGCAAUGUGAAACAAACAGGAAUAGAAACAGGGAGUCCACAAUAUCGUCCACCGUUUCCUCAACUUUCUCCUCAAAUGUCUCCUAGAGCUCAAAUAUCGCCCCGACAGCAAUCACAAUCACAACUUUCUCCACGGCCUGUUAUGUCUCCUGUAAAAGGUCCCAGCGCAUCUCCACAUGGUGCUCGUAAUAUGGUUCAGUCGCCAGUUUCUUCAGGAACUUCAACAACACCGGGAUCUUUUCCAUCCCAGAAUACACUUCAAGCGUUAGAGCAAAUGGUUUUACCAUCAGGCUCAGAGUAUCCAUACCAACGUAACCCGUCAUCUCCAGCUGUGACACAUGUUGCAUCGUCACCAUCUCAGUGGAACCAAAGUAAAAUUACUCCAACAAGUAGUUUAGCGCAAAUGGAAAAUAGCGAGCAGCAUGCAAAGUCUUCUGAACCAGCCGUAUCAGUACCACCAAUAUCAGUGCCACCACUAAAAUCAGAAUUAGUAAAAACUACAGCCGUAACUCAUACUGAAACGAAACCAGUUGAAAAAACUGAACCAGAGAGUGCUAGAUCAACUGAAACUGGUACAUUAAGAACUUUUAUAGCUCCGCCUAAUUCGAACAGUACUAAAGAUAAUGUGCCAAUUGCUGCAUCGACAAGCAGUUCCACAAAUAGUUGUCACGAUUCGCCUGCUACUGGGGAAUCAGGAGAUAAUCAUGAAAAGAUGUCAGGACCUCGUCAGUCUACAGAUAGUAACGUAGAAAAUGCUCCACUGCAGGGAGAGGAAAAUGUUGAUAUUAAUGUAACAAAAGUAUACAACAGUGAACAAAAUUUGGAAUCCAAACAGAAGUCUACUGAGAAUGCCAAUAUUCAAGAAAGUAAUCCAGUGACGUUGCCCCUGCCUUCAAUUACAAAUACCAAUACUAGCAAUUCGUCACCUUCUCAACAAAUCCCAGUAUCUCAUGUUACUACUACGAAUACGAAUAACCAAUACGAAAGUAUGCUUAAUAUGAAUAUUAGUAGAAAUCCAGGAUAUUCAGCAAACAACGUACAGAAUGUUUCUGCUAACAUGCCAAAUGUAACACAGGGCUUGUCAGCAAACAUACCAUCUAGUAUUCAGUCAUCGGGUCAUACUGCUGUCAGUCAUAAUAUAUCUUCUAGUUUUCCAAGUGGCCCUACCUCUGUUACUCAAGCACUGCCUAAUGUGCAAGCAAAUUUACAACCAAAUCAUGCAAUGCAACAUGGAAAUUUACCGAAUACUGUAACAUCUACUAUACCUGUUCAUAACCAACAAAGCAACAUGUCGUUGCUUCCUGCAAUACAGGGAAAUAUUCAACCAAAUAUGCCGAAUGUCUCUAGUAAUAUGCAAUCGAUUGGCCAAUCCAAUGUACCAGCAAAUAUUUCAAACGUUCAAGUAGGAUUGCCCUUGACUGUUCCAAAUAUGCAUGCUCCAAUGCCACCAAAUCAGCCUAUUAUAUCUAAUAUGCCCCAUAAUAUUAAUCCAAUGUUGAUGAUUGGGCCAAAUUCGAUGCCUCAUCCCAAUAUCUCGAAUAUAUAUCCAGCUUCCCAUCAACAAGAAAGAAUGUCUUUACAGCAACAAAUACAAGAUAUUUACUGUUUGCCACCUUCAAAUGAAAAUCAGGAAAAAGUAAGGUGCCUCCAAGAAAGACUAGCAUUAAUCCAACAGCAUGAAUCGAAUGAUAAAUGUAAUGGGGGCCCAAACUGCACACUACAAAACCCAGUGUACGGAUCAAAAAUGGUAGAAAGUCCUCAAGUCACUAGUACAACGGGGCGUGGCCGUGGCAAAGGUCCGGCUAAGCCCAGGAAGCCAAGGGCAAAAAAAGAGAAAUUUGUGGCAACAGCGCAGACAUUAGAUCAGCUGCCUGUUUCGGAAGAUUGUGUGACAGCUGGAACUGGAUUACAAAGUACGUCAGAACUUGACUUAGAAUCUAAUGAAGAUAUAACAAAUUUAGACAGCAGUGCAAUAUCUAUGGAUGACAUCAGUGGUGGUAAAGUAAGAAAACAAAGAGGACCCCGAAAGAAUAAGGAGCGAAAGCCACGGACACCUAAAGAACCAAAAUUAAAAGAUUUAACUGACAAACCUGUGAAAGAGCGGAAAAAACGAGAACCUAAAGAUCCAAAUGCUCCCAAGAAGAAAAGGACUUCAAAAAAAGACGCUGUUGAAAUACAAGCGGAUACAACUACUUAUGAAUUGUUAGAAACAGAUAAAGACACCCCCUCUGGUGACGUAUCAGUGAGUCAAAAUAUAUGCAAUAUAGAAACUCCUAAUGCAUCAAAGAAUUUGUCAGACCUUUCCUUGGAAGAUUCGAACGUCACUGACUUUGAUGAUAUUCCGGUUUCUAAAAUUGCAAUCAAGGAUCUGUUGGAAGAAGCUGAAGCUAAACGAGAACAAAUAGAGAAAGAUGAUGACAUUGAUUCAAUCACUCAAAAAAGAAAAUCUAAGAAACGCUCAUCAGUCGGUGGAAGUUGUAAGAAAUUGACUCUGAGGAAAUCUUUAGGCGGGAGGAGAAAAAAACGUGGUGGAUUAAUUCCAGAUUCUGAUGGUGAACCAGAUGAUAUGAUGUCUACCCCACCACCGUCUCCGCCGCCAGAAGGUGACGAUAGUUUAAAGAGAAGAUCUGCUAGGAACACGCAACGUAAAAAAUAUACAGAUGAUGUCAUGCUACGUUUAUCAGAUGAUGAAUUUACAAUGGCCACACCUAAAGUUGAAAAAGAAUGUAAGUCGGAGGAUCUAGAUACCAAAGAAAACAGUAGAUCUGAAGGGGUUCCUAAACCUAACUAUAUCUAUGUGAAUACAACUGAAGAAGAUGCUAUGAUUGUCCAACAUGUUUUAGCUUGUCGUAUGGGAAAAAGAGAGUUUAAAGUUGAAACACUUGCUACUGACAUUUCACCAAAAUUAGAAGCUAGUAAAACUGAGCCGACACUUAAUGAUUCUAACGAUGAAGUGCAAAAGAUUGAGUCUUGUGAAGAUAAUAAUAUUGACGAUAAAACAAUAAUUGAUGAUGAAACUCAGAAAGAAAUUGAUAAUCAAAAUACAACUGAAAAAUCCGAUGUCCCUGCAGUAACUAAUAAAGCAGAGGAAACCAUAGAUGGUUGUAAAGACAAAUCCGAUGGUGAAGUGAAGAAUUUGAAACCGGUUAUGGUUGAUGUUGAGGAAUAUUUUGUAAAAUACAGAAAUUUUUCAUACCUGCAUUGUGAAUGGAAAACAGAAGAAGAACUUUACAAAGGAGAUAAAAGAAUAUUUUCUAAAAUUAAACGCUUCAAACAGAAACAAGCUCAACAAAUGAAUAUUUUUGAAUUAUUAGAUGACGAACCUUUUAAUCCUGACUAUGUUGAAGUGGAAAGAAUACUGGAUAUGUCAGAAAAUCAAGACCCUGCGAAUAAUACAGUAGUUAAACAUUAUUUAGUUAAAUGGAAAAGCUUACAAUAUGAAGAUAGUACAUGGGAAUUAGAAGAGGAUAUUGACGUAGAUAAAAUAAGACAAUACAAGACAUUUAGUGAGAUACCACCGAAAGAAAAAUGGAAAUUUAAAAAACGACCUUCUGCUGACCAGUGGGUCCAAUUAAAAGAAUCCCCUCUUUAUAAAGGAGGAAAUACUUUAAGGCCCUAUCAACUCGAAGGACUUAAUUGGUUGUUAUUCUCAUGGCAUAAUAAUCGUAAUUGUAUAUUAGCUGAUGAAAUGGGUUUAGGAAAAACAAUUCAAAGUCUUACAUUUGUGAAUUCUGUUUGGGAGUAUGGUAUAAGAGGACCAUUUCUUAUCAUAGCUCCUUUAUCUACAAUACCAAAUUGGCAAAGAGAAUUUGAAGGAUGGACAGAAAUGAAUGUAGUUGUUUAUCAUGGUUCUCAACAGAGCAAGAGUAUGCUGCAGGAAUAUGAAUUUUAUUACAAGAAUGAACACGGCGAACCAAUUAAAGAAAUUACCAAAUUCAAUGUUCUUAUAACAACAUUUGAAAUAAUCGUGACAGAUUUCCAAGAAUUGAAAUCCUUUAACUGGCGAAUAUGUGUUAUAGAUGAAGCGCAUAGACUUAAAAAUCGUAACUGCAAACUUUUGGAAGGAUUAAGACAACUCCAUUUAGAACACAGAGUAUUAUUAUCUGGAACUCCACUGCAGAAUAAUGUAAACGAACUUUUUUCUCUCUUAAAUUUUCUAGAACCUUCGCAAUUUUCUAGCAGUGAUGCUUUCUUAAAUGAAUUUGGUCAACUUAAGACUGAAUCAGAAGUACUCAAGCUUCAAGCACUUUUAAAACCUAUGAUGCUCCGGAGAUUAAAAGAAGAUGUUGAAAAAACGUUGGCACCUAAGGAAGAAACAAUAAUUGAAGUUGAGUUAACUAAUAUACAGAAAAAAUAUUAUAGAGCUAUACUCGAAAGAAAUUUCAGUUUCUUACAAAAAGGUACGGCUUCCGCGGCCAAUAUCCCUAACUUAAUGAAUACAAUGAUGGAACUGAGAAAGUGUUGUAUACAUCCAUACUUGUUAAAUGGUGCAGAAGACCAAAUACAAUUUGACUAUAAACAGGCUAACGGGGAAGAUAAGCAAGCAUAUUACAAAGCUCUUAUAGAUUCAUCUGGUAAAAUGGUAUUAGUUGAUAAAUUACUUCCGAAAUUAAAAGCUGGAGGUCACAGAGUUUUAAUAUUUAGCCAAAUGGUAAGAUGUCUAGACAUUUUGGAAGAUUAUUUAGUAUUUAGAAAGUAUCCUUAUGAGAGGAUUGACGGGCGUAUUCGGGGCAACUUGAGGCAAGAAGCAAUCGAUAGAUUCUCUAAACCUGACUCAGAUAGAUUUGUAUUUUUGCUAUGUACGAAAGCAGGUGGGUUAGGUAUCAAUUUAACAGCUGCAGAUACAGUUAUAAUUUACGAUAGCGACUGGAAUCCACAGAAUGAUCUGCAGGCACAAGCUCGAUGCCAUCGAAUUGGUCAGCAAAAAAUGGUUAAAAUAUAUAGAUUAAUUUGUCGUAAUUCAUACGAAAGGGAAAUGUUUGACAAAGCAUCGCUUAAGCUUGGCCUUGAUAAAGCCAUAUUACAAAGUAUGAAUACAACUCAAGGUAAAGAAACAGGAAUAAAGCAAUUGUCUAAAAAGGAAAUUGAGGACUUGUUGAAAAAAGGUGCAUACGGCGCCGUGAUGGAUGAAGAUAAUGCUGGUGAUAAAUUUUGUGAGGAAGAUAUUGAAAUGAUAUUAGCGCGCAGAACACAAGUUAUUCAAAUGGAGUCAGAAAAAGGGUCAACAUUUUCUAAAGCUAGUUUUGCUGCAGCAGACCAGCGAUCAGAUAUUGACAUAAGAGAUCCAGAUUUUUGGAAUAAAUGGGCUAAAAAAGCAGAAAUUGAUACUACUGAGAAAAAAGAAGAUGAAGAUUUGAUAGUAACAGAACCAAGAAAACGAACAGUUAUCAAAAGAUACGGUCAUGACGAUGGUCCCAUGGAAAUGUCAGAUAUGGAGGUCACACCAGAUUCCGAUGACGAUGAGGAAGGAAUCAGUUUAAGAAGUAAAAGAAAGAAAGACAAACUUGGCAAAAAAGGCCGUAGAUAUGCAAGCGACGAUUAUAUCCCCCGUCACGAAGGUGUUCCUGUUGAUGAAGAGGUUGUCUAUGGAUCAUGGACACGGUCUGAGUGUUUUAAAAUAGAAAGAGGACUACUUACAUUUGGGUGGGCCCGAUGGGAAGAAAUUGUAGAGAAAAAUCAAUUCAGAAAAGGUUGGACAAUUCCUGUUAUAGAAGACUGUGCACGAAUUAUUGUUUUAUAUUGUUUGCGGCAUUACAAAGGUGAUGAGAAAAUAAGAAAUUUUAUAUGGGAUCUAAUAGAACCAUGUGAAAAUGGUGAAGUUACAAUCUCUAGAAAUCACAGUGGACUACAUAAUCCAGUACCUCGAGGAAGAAACGCCAAAAAGAAAAAUCGCCCUAAAGAUUUGCCAAAAUCCAACGACCUUCAAAAAUGGGAGGAUGCAAGUCACUGGAGCUCUACAGAAAAGUAUGACUGUGAACUGUAUCUUGAAAACAGUUAUAAAAAGCAUUUAUUUAGACACGCCAAUAAGGUUUUGCUGCGCGUACGCAUGAUGUAUUAUAUCAAACAUGAGGUCAUUGGUGACUUUGCCACACAAAUUGAAAGUGGAGUUCAUGCAAGUACCUUGGGUAUGCGUGUACCGCGCGGUGUGGACAGCACACCGCCGCGCCUGUGGUGGGAUAGUGAGUGUGACGUAUCCUUACUUGUUGGUACAUACGUCCACGGUUACGAAAAUUAUUUGGCUAUGCGUUCAGAUCCACAACUUUGUUUUGUAGACAAACUGGGACCCCCCGAUGAUGCUGAAUGCACAGAUAUCAAGAGUGAAGAAAGAAAAGUAAGAGGCAGUGUAGUGGGGGACGAAGAUUGUACGGACGACGUGUCUAGCGGUGCUGGUGCAACAUCCCCGGCAGCCUCUCCUCGGCCUGAUGACGACAGUACGCAAAGCAGUGGUGGUGGGCAUUUAUGGCCCUCAAUGCAAGACUUGAAUACGAGACUACGCAGACUAAUCACAGCAUAUCAAAGAAACUACAAACGAGAAGAACUUAAAAUGCAACAGAGAGCUAAGAAGAUGGAGCGAAGAGAACGCAUGGAUCAACUGGCUAGAGAUGAGGUGUCGCAGUGGCGCUGGACGCGCGCCGACGAAGAAGCGUUCCGACGCACUGUUGCUUCCUAUGGGGUAGAAUUCGACCCAACUACAAAAAGUCUUCGCUGGAGUCGAUUCAGAACACUUGCACGUUUGGAUACCAAAAGUGAUGAUGCCUUAACAGAUUAUUUGAAAGCUUUUAUGGCCAUGUGUAAACGACAGUGUGGACUUUCUGUGGGCGAAGCUGAGUUACCUACACGAGCAGAUUUAAAAGCAGAACCGAUAGGUGAAGAGAGAGCUAUUGCUACUCUGGAAAGGAUUGAUCUUCUACGAGUAUUACGAGAAGAAGUCGCUCCACAUCCUGCACUAGAUACUCGAUUGGCACUAUGUGAACGGUCUCCUGACACCCCACCGUGGUGGCAGCCAGCUCGCCAUGAUAAACUUUUAGUUUUGGGUGUUUGCAAGCAUGGUUUAGGUGACACUUACAGUAAGCUGUUUUGCGAUCCUAAAAUGCCAUUCGCUGAUUGCGCUAGCAAGUGGUAUACUAGUCACAAGGGAGUUACUAGAAACGAAUCACAAAAAUUAUCUUCCGAUGAAGAAGACACCGCUGUCUCUGAAGAUGCAGCAGGAGAAACGCGGAUGUCGCUCCGACGAAGUAAGAGAACUUCCAAUAACUGCGAUAGGACUGCUGAAGAUGACACGGAUGCCCUUUCCGAACUAGAAACUCUCGCUAAGUUAGGUCGGAUCGAAGAGACAUUGCCCCCAGAGCGCUGGUUCUCAGAGCGGGCGCUCGAGACGCGCCUGCAUCACAUAGCGCACGCGGUACAGAAUCGCGAGUGGCCCGCAGCCGCCAAGCCUGACACGCGUGCGGCGGCCGACGUGCACGACGAGCGCAAGCAGGGGCCCAAGCGUCAUAUCGCCAUUGACGUAGAAACCGACCGCGCUAAGCUGCACGCGCUGCUGUCGUCGCCGCAGGCCGCGCACACGGGAGCCGGCAGCAGCGCGGCGCCGGGCGAGGCGGGCGCGCCGCCGCCGGCGCACCAGCGCGUGCCCGCGUCGCCCGCACCCUCCGCCGCUCCCGUUGACCUCUCGGCACCUCUGGAUCUGAGCGACGUCCAUGAUUUCUCUGUGGGUCGCCGUACGCCUCAUAACGAUUCUGCACCUUCUUCCAUGCCUUCUCGCAGCCGGCUCGAUGAUACACUUUCCAGGCUCAUGAAGAGAAAGAAUGUGCCUGCGCCCGAGCAUAUAGUUGGAAAAGAGAAGAAAAGAAAGAAAUUAGAUGAAAUUGUAUUGGGAUUAUCAGCGGCUAAAUGUAAAAGCCCUACUACUUCAUCAGAUAACCUGCGCGGACGUAGCUCCAGCGUGCUGCCCGAUGUGACUGUAACCCCAGCUGCGCCUCCAACAUCGUCCCCAGCUUCCUCUAAUCAGAAACCAUUUUCAGUCACGGUGACUAACGUACCAUCGCCACAGGCUUCUUCUAAAGAGUUAUCUUCAUUUUUGCAACAAUCUUUAGAACAUACAAAGGUUCCUAAAGCUCCAGUUGUACCACCAAUGAAAUCUUAUUCUCAUGAGGCUAAAGUAAACAAGUGGCUAGCUGAGCAGGCUAGCGUUGAUACACGUCGUCGUGGUGUAGCGCCUCGGCUAGCACCAGAAGAACACGUGCCAGUGGUGCAUCGUGUAACUGGCAAGCGCAUAGUCGGUCCCAAAGCACCGCAACUUAAGCAUCUAGCCCAAUGGAUAGCUGAAAACCCUAUGUAUGACAUAGACUCCAAGUGGACGGAAGGUAUUAAAGAGCAUAUUAAGUUGCCUCAAGACGUACGUAGUCAAAGACAUUCUCCGAUGCAAGCUAGCGGAGGUGAACGUAAAAAAGGACGUCCUCCUACGCUCGAUUCUCCAUCUCCAAAUGUAUUGUCGUCUAAUUCUCAUUUGAAUCAGAAUUUGGCUGGCUUAAAUCCAGCUAUUUUGGCCAGUCUAUCAAGUCUAAGUGCAUUUGAUCCAAAAACAUUAGCUGCCACUCUUUCAAAUUUGACGGGCUUUGAUCCAAAAUUGUUAAAUAGUUUUGACCCAAAACUACUUUCUAGUUUGGGGAGCUUUGAUCCUAAAAAUAAUCCAUUGUUGAGUUCUUUUAAUAGUAUGCCAAAUUUGUUAGGGAAUAUAGCAGGUGGAAAUAUAUUUGCGAAUUUAGCAGGGCUAGGACUUCCUGGAUUCUCUUCAUUAGACAUAAACAAUUUAACUGGAUCCAAUAUUUCAAGCGACAGUAAGUCGAAAUCUCGUAAAACUACUGAAACAGGGAAUCCCUCUAAUUCAAAAUCUACCAACUCUCAAUUUCCAUUUGUGUUUCCUAAUCCAAAUAUGUUGUAUCCUCAAUUAGGACUAAGUGGUUUAAAUCCAUUCGGAAUGCAUUCUGGCAUGUCAUCAGCAUACGACGCUUUAGGUUUAUUGAGUAAUAAUAUAGCAGCAAGUUCAGGUGCUUCUACAUUACAAGCAUCCAGUCAUACUUCUGCACGCAGCACGGCAAAAACAACAACACCGCGGUCUUCGACAGUAGUUACUAAUUCAUCAACUUCUCGCCAACAAAAAGUUUCUGAUCGGCAACAAUCAAGUCAAUUACCGCAAAUUCAUUUGCCACCAGAUCCAUAUCUUUUGGAAACUUUGUCCAAACAGUCUCUAAAUUACGAAUCGAUCAUCAGACCAGAAAAGAGACAGCGAGAUAAUGAUAGCCAAGAAAACAUAGCAACCGAUUUAUCAAAGACUGAUAAGAAAAAACUGCCAUUCGAUGCAUUAAGGUCUCAAGUCCCACCGGAAUUUGCGGCUGUUCAGGAAAAACUUUUGAAGGGUGAUAAAAAAGAUAUUGAUAUAAGCAAGAUGUUGUUAGAACAAAUGGCUUCGGGUGCACUUAGUGCCAGCCUUGUUAGUUCAGCAGAGUCCAAAAAGGCUAAAGAUGACAAAGACGUUACUGAAAAAUUUGUUAAAAAUUCAUCAGAAUAUAUUUCUAGAUCCUUAAUCUCUGAAGAUGGGGGAUCUGGAACCUCUUUAGUUCACAAACGAAGUCAUGAAGAUAUCAUAAACGAACCAGAAAAUUUAGCACUAUCUUCAACAGAAUUAAACCCCAUCAAGAAGUUAAAGGAAAAUCCGAACUCUGAAAAUAAGCCUGCAAUGGAAAAUCAAUCUGAUCACUCAACACAUCCUGGGGAAAUGGACCUUGAAGAUUUAAUAGCUCCUUCAACCGUUAUCAAAACCGGAAUGAAACCAGACUUUGACACUAAUGUCCCUCCUAAAUUUACUCCUACGGAGGUAACGGCUACUCCAUUGAGUAAAGACGAAAAAUCCCUAUCGAAAUUACCAAACUCUUUCCCUGAAGGUUCUAUGUCUCUAAGUCACGAUAUAGCCUCAGCCGAUGAUGAAAAAAAUGACGAAGAAAUUAAAGGUAACUGUUCCAAUGAGGAUGAUACUAAUAUUGGAGACAAUUCCGCACAUGAUGGGCGUAGAUGCAAUAAAAAGAAAAUCCGUAAGUCAUCUGAAGAGGCUCCGGCGACGUGUCCGCGACGUGAAUUAAGAUCUAGCUCUGGUCGCCAGUCAACGGAAUCGAUUAAUACAAAUCAUUAAAGCGAUGCAUUUCUUAAAAUAUACUCUGCUAUGAUUUUCCGCCAGUGGAUUCUUAAAAUGAAAUUGACAUAAGAAGUUAUUUAUAAACUUCCAAACCUUAUUAUUUUUAACAUAAUCCUUUUUCCGGAUAUUAGAUUAAAAUUAAUUAAAACUUCUGUUAAACUGGCAAUUAUUGCGUGUGAAUGUUUUAAAAUCGUAAGCUAUAUGAACAAAGUAUAUAAUACGGCGCUAGCAAUCGCGUUUAGGAAUAUAUUCAAUUCCUGAUUGUGGCUUAGAAUUUCAUUGCGUUAUGCGAUAAACUACUGACACUAGAGAUCUCCACAAAUACUGUAGCUCAGUUUCUUUGGACUACUAUUUGUUUUUAAAGUAAGUUAUAAAUGUUGAGUAAAUAAUAAAUCAUUAUCGAUGUGUGAAAAUGUGUUAAAAUUAUUCCCUGGUUUAAUUUUUAUUCUCAUUUUUAUUAGUUAUUAUUGUAAGAUUUAAGUCAAACACUGAAUGUGAUAAGAUUAUUUAUUACAUGUAUUCUUAUUAUUUUACACUGCUAAAUCGACGAAAUGUAUUAUAUUAUUAUGUGACAAAUCAUAAUUAAACAUAGAAUUUAUUGAA